AAAUUAUUAUUUUUAUAUAAUUGAAAGAAAUAUAAAGUGCUUUGUGGUCGUUAAAUGCGACGUAGGGGGCGAGAGAAACGAUUUCAGUGUGUAGAUUGACAGAGAGAAAUAAAAUGGAAGAUGGGGAGGGGGAGAGGUGAGUAUGUAUUAAAAUUAAAUGGAAACGACGACUGUACGAGCAGUAGUGAUGAUAAUCGUGUGCUUUACGUGGGACUCUGAACAUUAUGGUAAUUGCUAAUUGAGUCUGCCAACGAUUUCCAGACAGUCGAGGACGCAAGAGAACGCGAGGAGAGUAGUAGGUCAAAAUCGAUAACAAGAGCAGUGUCUCAGCUGGUUCAGUUGUACACGGACGGUUUAGUGCCCACCCACUGAAUCAUUAUUUCUCAUUUUUCUUUUCUUAUGGUUUUAUCUUUAUUUUCGUUUUUUUUUUUUUUUUUUUUUUGCAAGGAAUCAAGACGAGUGAGUUGUCAGAGAGGAAGUGAAGUUUGAAAUGAAUUUAAAGAUCACAUGUAUAUCCUGAAAUUUUUUUCACGCCUUCAAAAUUACAUUUUGAUUUACUUUUUAGUUGACAAUAGUUUUAUAUUAAUUUUCGUCGCGAAUAAAAAUAUACGAGGACUGUAUUUAUGUUUGAUGCUGAAGGUCAGCUCGACUCAUCCCUUUUCAACAACAUUCUAUACAUAUAUAUGUUAUGUAUACCUUUUACCUAAGGAAAUUUUCUGGCCAACAGCCAAACAUAUAUAUAUAUAUAUAUAUAUAUAUAUAUAUAUAUAUAUAUAUAUAUAUAAACACAAAACGUUUCCAUUCGUUUGUAUUGCGUUUAUCUGUCGUUCUUAUGUGUUUCCUUCCUUCCUUUCCCAAGACAUGAUGCUUGGAAAAAUUAACUGUCGAUUACCAAUAACUUUAUAAUAAAAAAAAUCUAUAAACCACCAUAUAUAUAUAAAGAUAUAUAAAAGGAACAAUAGAAUAAAGUGUAUGAUGAAAUAAUUCAGCGGCUACUUGACUCAAUUACCUGGGGACUUAAAUUUACGAGGAUAAAUUUGAACAAAACGGAUAAAUCAAGUGCUGGUGAUUAAGGCGAGCCACUUGAUGAAGGAAAAAUAGUUUAAGUAUUUAAAAAAAAAAAAACGUAAAUACCUUGUCUGUACUUUAUCGAUUAUAAAUGAGCUUUAAUAUUAUAUAAAGAGAAAAUAUUGUAUUAUACAAUAUCUUUAGCUUGCAGAAUUUUUUCAGCCUCAUUAUCGAUGCUUUAGUGCUUUCCAGUGAAAAUAAAAAAAAGGAGAUAAAAAAUUUUAAAUAUUAAAUUUAUUAAACUAAAUAAAAGUCAAUCACGACAAGUUUAAAUAUAGAACGCGAAUCAAUAUACUAAAAA